rnacentral:rRNA from 1 species
GACGAACGCUGGCGGCGCGCCUAACACAUGCAAGUCGAACGGAGCUUGCCUGUCAGAUCCCUUCGGGGUGACGACUUGUAAGCUUAGUGGCGAACGGGUGAGUAACACGUGAGUAACCUGCCCCAGAGUGGGGGACAACAGUUGGAAACGACUGCUAAUACCGCAUAAGCCCACAGAACCGCAUGGUUCUGGGGGAAAAGGAGCAAUUCGCUCUGGGAUGGACUCGCGUCCGAUUAGCUGGAUGGUGAGGUAACGGCUCACCAAGGCGACGAUACAUAGCCGACCUGAGAGGGUGAACGACCACACUGGGACUGAGACACGGCCCAG